rnacentral:rRNA from 1 species
UACGGAGGGAACUAGCGUUGUUCGGAAUUACUGGGCGUAAAGCGCGUGUAGGCGGUCGUGCAAGUCGGGUGUGAAAGCCCUGGGCUCAACCCAGGAAGCGCAUUCGAUACUGCGCGACUGGAGUCCCGGAGAGGAUGGUGGAACUCUCGGUGUAGAGGUGAAAUUCGUAGAUAUCGAGAAGAACACCGGUGGCGAAGGCGGCCAUCUGGACGGUGACUGACGCUGAGACGCGAAAGCGUGGGGAGCAAACAGG